UUCCUUCAGUCUGUGCUGCACAUUUUGU
rnacentral:piRNA from 1 species